CAGCAGAACUUGAAAAUGGGUGGCUCCGUGUUCUUAAUGGCUGGCCCAUCUGCAAUAGUUAUAUUUCUUCUCCGGGGCUCUGCUUAUCUCCUGAUUUAUACAUUUUUCCUAUGUGUUAAGAUGUUUUCUUCGUUUGUAGAAGGACUUGCUUAUGGGAGCCUGGUAGAUUAAAGCAGAAACGUCACUCUAGUUUUUGCACAGCUUGCUGUGUGUCACAUUAUUAUGGAGUGCUUUUCAAAAUAGGAGAUUUUUAGUGCGAUCCUCUGCUCUGUCACAUUAUUACGGUAGUAGUGCAAAUGAUGGAUUCGUCUGAGCAUGCUAUUGGAGUUGAAUUGGGGAACGGAAGUAAAUCUACAUAUACCGAUAUCUUCAAGUCACUUGGCUCCGGUGAAACCAUUUCGGGCGGUGCACUGCAAUUGUGACUGUAGUUAGCAGUGCUGCCGAUAGAAUCAUCAUGAAGACCGGACCAUAAAGAACGAAUGGCUGGAUCAAAGGAUUUAGCGGUUGGAAGUGGGAACCUGGCAGAAGUGGAGCAUCUGGGUGUGGCUUAUAAUAUUGAUUGUGGUGGGUGCCAUUAUUGGAAGCAUCAAAGCUAACAAUGGAUCCAGGACUCCAGGGCUUUUACAUAUGCAUGGCAACCUUUGUGGCUCUUAUAGUCCUACAUUAUGACCUUCGUCAUGGUUGCCUUUAAAGCCCUUCUCUACCAGCCAGAAUGUUGAAAUAUGCUUAACUGGAGGAACUGGAUUCUUGUUUGUAAGUGCACACUAACGUAAACUAUCUUAUGCUUAUGAAUUUGAGAUCUUUAUGAUCCCUUACCACUAGGUUACCGUGGAGAUGGUUAGCUAAAACUCUCCAAGUGCUUGAUGAAAAUUUUAAGCUAGUCACCAGAAUAGUAUUUAUGCUCAAUGACACCCAAAUUAAAGUGAUAUGGACCUCAAUGUUUGCUCAUACUUAUCUUACAGUGAUAAUGUCAACUCGAGGUAAAGUGUGUGAGAAACAGGUUGCCUAAUAAGGCUCACUGAGUACCGAAUUUAGGCCCAUGAAAUCUUAAAGUGGCAUGCCACCUCUAGUAUUUGGUGAUGCUUCUUUACACAUUGAUUACAAUCAUACAGUUUUGUUAAUCCUUUAAGGUUUCUUGAAAAAGCUUGGUGAUUGCUUGUUUAAAAACAAUGGACCCAAAUGGUACCUCAUUAUUAGUCCCGAAUACAUGUUUUGAAGGCCUGAUGCAUGACUGAUAGCUGAUUUAAAGGCUUGAUUUUUGGGUAGCGUAUGUAAACAUUUGGUGCUUUGGAGAUGAUGGUUCAAAGUACUGAGUCUAGUCAGAUAGCUUAUAUCAUACCUUUAUGGAAAAACAUACCAUCCUUGUGUGGAAGCAGCAAGGUUGGAUCAAGUGGUUAACACCCUUGCCUCUGGAAACAGAGGUCAUGGGUUCUAUCCUCAUCCCUUGCAAGGUUGGAGGUCCUUUUCUAUCUUUAGAUAGAACUUGGAAGCAGCCUCUCUACACUGUUGUUGUAGGGGUAAGGCUGUCUACAUCUUAACCUCCCCCAUAUACCGUCGAGGUAUUGGGACCCAAAACCUGUGGAAGACUGCAUUGGGGGCGUUACUUUUUAUACCAUCCUUGUGUGGGUUGUAUUGUAUCUAAGUUGAAGAUUUUGAUCAAGUCUGAUAACUGGUCAAUGAACUUUACAACACCACAUAGCAGGUUUUCUUUCUUAUCCUUUUUAUUUGUCAAGCAAGUUCUUUUCCUUCUGCUAUCUGUGUUCGUCAUUUCCGAUGGUUUAAUUAGGGAUCAAAUUAUUCUUGAAAAUGGGUGAUUUAUGAAAUGUUCAUUAGCUUUUCAUCAUCUAGUACAUAUCAAGAUUACUUGCUGAGAAGGUUUCUUUUUUUUUUUCUUUUCAGAGUCGAGCUUGCAAUGUGGUGGGAAUGACAAUGGGAUAAGUAUCCUGGAUUGUAACAAACUUUGGACGAAUGUCUAAAGUAGGAAAUAACUAAAGUUUUGU